rnacentral:rRNA from 1 species
UACGGGGGGGGGCAAGCGUUGUUCGGAAUUACUGGGCGUAAAGGGCUCGUAGGUGGCCAACUAAGUCAGACGUGAAAUCCCUCGGCUUAACCGGGGAACUGCAUCUGAUACUGGAUGGCUUGAGUUUGGGAGAGGGAUGCGGAAUUCCAGGUGUAGCGGUGAAAUGCGUAGAUAUCUGGAGGAACACCGGUGGCGAAGGCGGCAUCCUGGACCAACACUGACACUGAGGAGCGAAAGCCAGGGGAGCGAAACAGGGAGUU